rnacentral:rRNA from 1 species
ACCAGCACCUCAAGUGGUCAGGAUGAUUAUUGGGCCUAAAGCAUCCGUAGCCGGCUCUGUAAGUUUUCGGUUAAAUCUGUACGCUUAACGUACAGGCUGCCGGGAAUACUGCAGAGCUAGGGAGUGGGAGAGGUAGACGGUACUCGGUAGGAAGUGGUAAAAUGCUUUGAUCUAUCGAUGACCACCUGUGGCGAAGGCGGUCUACCAGAACACGUCCGACGGUGAGGGAUGAAAGCUGGGGGAGCAAACCGG